rnacentral:ncRNA from 2 species
UACGAAGGGGGCUAGCGUUGCUCGGAAUUACUGGGCGUAAAGGGCGCGUAGGCGGAUCGUUUAGUCAGAGGUGAAAUCCCAGGGCUCAACCCUGGAAUUGCCUUUGAUACUGGCGAUCUUGAGUGUGAGAGAGGUAUGUGGAACUCCGAGUGUAGAGGUGAAAUUCGUAGAUAUUCGGAAGAACACCAGUGGCGAAGGCGACAUACUGGCUCAUUACUGACGCUGAGGCGCGAAAGCGUGGGGAGCAAACAGG